rnacentral:rRNA from 1 species
UAAGGAAUAUUGGUCAAUGGACGCAAGUCUGAACCAGCCAUGCCGCGUGGAGGAUGACGGUCCUCUGGAUUGUAAACUUCUUUUAUUUGGGAAGAAAACCUCUGAUUAUUAGGAGCUUGACGGUACCAGAUGAAUAAGCACCGGCUAACUCCGUGCCAGCAGCCGCGGUAAUACGGAGGGUGCAAGCGUUAUCCGGAUUCACUGGGUUUAAAGGGUGCGUAGGCGGGCUAUUAAGUCAGAGGUGAAAUCUCCGGGCUCAACCUGGAAACUGCCUUUGAUACUAUUAGCCGUGAAUUAUGUUGAGGUUUGCGGAAUAUAACAUGUAGCGGUGAAAUGCCUAGAUAUGUUAUGGAACACUGAUUGCGAAGGCAGCUGGCUAAACAUAUAUUGACGCUGAUGCACGAAAGCGUGGGUAGCGAACA